GAUGAACGCUGGCGACGUGGAUAAGGCAUGCAAGUCGAACGGAUCCUUCGGGAUUAGUGGCGGACGGGUGAGUAACACGUGGGAACGUGCCCUUUGGUUCGGAACAACUCAGGGAAACUUGAGAUAAUACCGGAUGUGCCCUUCGGGGGAAAGAUUUAUCGCCAUUGGAGCGGCCCGCGUCUGAUUAGCUAGUUGGUGGGGUAAAGGCCCACCAAGGCGACGAUCAGUAGCUGGUCUGAGAGGAUGAUCAGCCACAUUGGGUCUGAGACACGGCCCAAACUCCUACGGGAGGCAGCAGUGGGGAAUCUUGCGCAAUGGGCGAAAGCCUGACGCAGCCAUGCCGCGUGAAUGAUGAAGGUCUUAGGAUUGUAAAAUUCUUUCACCGGGGACGAUAAUGACGGUACCCGGAGAAGAAGCCCCGGCUAACUUCGUGCCAGCCGCCGCAGUAA
rnacentral:rRNA from 1 species